GGUAGUAUGGCCGAGAUAGGCAGCGGAUUGUAAUCCCGCGCACAGGAGCGAUCCUUGCUACCAUCGG
rnacentral:tRNA from 1 species